rnacentral:rRNA from 1 species
UGCGAACUCCUACGGGAGGCAGCAGUGGGGAAUUUUGGACAAUGGGGGCAACCCUGAUCCAGCAAUGCCGCGUGAGUGAAGAAGGCCUUCGGGUUGUAAAGCUCUUUUGUCAGGGAAGAAACGGUAGUAGCUAAUAUCUAUUACUAAUGACGGUACCUGAAGAAUAAGCACCGGCUAACUAAGUGCCAGCAGCCGCGGUAAUACGUAGGGUGCAAGCGUUAAUCGGAAUUACUGGGCGUAAAGCGUGCGCAGGCGGUUGUGUAAGUCAGAUGUGAAAGCCCCGGGCUCAACCUGGGAAUUGCAUUUGAGACUGCACGGCUAGAGUGUGUCAGAGGGGGGUAGAAUUCCGCGUGUAGCAAUGAAAUGCGUAGAUAUGUGGUGAAAUACCGAUGGCGAAGGCGGCCCCCUGGGAUAACACUGACGCUCAUGCACGAAAGCGUGGGGAGCAAACUAGAUUAGAGGCCCGUGUAGUCCAGAUG